rnacentral:rRNA from 1 species
GGCAGCAGUAGGGAAUCUUCGGCAAUGGGCGAAAGCCUGACCGAGCAACGCCGCGUGAAUGAUGAAGGCCUUCGGGUUGUAAAAUUCUGUUAUAAGGGAAGAACGACUUUAGUAGGAAAUGGCUAGAGUGUGACGGUACCUUAUGAGAAAGCCACGGCUAACUACGUGCCAGCAGCCGCGGUAAUACGUAGGUGGCGAGCGUUAUCCGGAAUUAUUGGGCGUAAAGAGCGCGCAGGUGGUUGAUUAAGUCUGAUGUGAAAGCCCACGGCUUAACCGUGGAGGGUCAUUGGAAACUGGUCGACUUGAGUGCAGAAGAGGGAAGUGGAAUUCCAUGUGUAGCGGUGAAAUGCGUAGAGAUAUGGAGGAACACCAGUGGCGAAGGCGGCUUCCUGGUCUGUAACUGACACUGAGGCGCGAAAGCGUGGGGAGCAAACAGGAUUAGAUACCCUGGUAGUCCACGCCGUAAACGAUGAGUACUAAGUGU